rnacentral:rRNA from 1 species
CGUCCCAUUAGCUAGUUGGUGAGAUAACAGCUCACCAAGGCGACGAUGGGUAGCCGGCCUGAGAGGGCGAACGGCCACACUGGGACUGAGACACGGCCCAGACUCCUACGGGAGGCAGCAGUGGGGAAUAUUGCGCAAUGGGGGAAACCCUGACGCAGCAACGCCGCGUGAAUGAUGAAGGUCUUCGGAUCGUAAAGUUCUGUCGAAGGGGAAGAAAGAAAUGACGGUACCCUUAGAGGAAGCCCCGGCUAACUGCGUGCCAGCAGCCGCGGUAAUACGUAGGGGGCAAGCGUUGUCCGGAAUUACUGGGCGUAAAGGGCGUGUAGGCGGUUUUCUAAGUCAGAUGUGAAAGUUCGGGGCUUAACCCCGGAAUUGCAUUUGAAACUGGAGAACUUGAGUACUGGAGAGGUAAGUGGAAUUCCUAGUGUAGCGGUGAAAUGCGUAGAUAUUAGGAGGAACACCAGUGGCGAAGGCGACUUACUGGACAGAUACUGACGCUGAGGCGCGAAAGCGUGGGGAGCGAACAGGAUUAGAUACCCUGGUAGUCCACGCCGUAAACGAUGAGUGCUAGGUGUUGGGGUAACUCAGUGCCGUAGUUAACACAAUAAGCACUCCGCCUGGGGAGUACGGUCGCAAGACUGAAACUCAAAGGAAUUGACGGGGGCCCGCACAAGCAGCGGAGCAUGUGGUUUAAUUCGAAGCAACGCGAAGAACCUUACCAGUCUUGACAUUUCCUGACGACCUCAGAGAUGAGGAGUUCCCUUCGGGACAGGAGACAGGUGGUGCAUGCGUCGUCAGCUCGUG